rnacentral:rRNA from 1 species
UCCGUAGGUGAACCUGCGGAAGGAUCAUUAUUGAAUGCCCUCACGGGCUUUAAUAUCCAACCAACCUCUGUGAACCGUCGCCCUCGGGCGCACUAUUACAAACUAUAACAGUCAUGAACGUAGUAUACAAAAACUAAACACAACUUUCAACAACGGAUCUCUUGGCUCUCGCAUCGAUGAAGAACGCAGCGAAAUGCGAUAAGUAAUGUGAAUUGCAGAAUUCAGUGAAUCAUCGAAUCUUUGAACGCACCUUGCGCCCUCUGGUAUUCCGGAGGGCAUGCCUGUUUGAGUGUCAUGUAGACUCAACCUCCUCGGUUUAUGAUCGGGACAGGUUGGAUGUGGGCGCUGCCGGUCACGGCUCGCCUUAAAUGUCUUAGCGGCUUCAGAAGCCCCAUUCUGGCGUAAUAAGUUUCGCUGGAGAGGGUGUGGAUGACUGCUUACAAUCGCCCUUGGGCAAUACUUUGACUCUGGCCUCAAAUCAGGUAGGACUACCCGCUGAACUUAAGCAUAUCAAUAAGCGGAGGAAGUCGACUGCCAAGGGGGCACACAGGGGGGGGAUA